rnacentral:tRNA from 2 species
GCACUGGUGGUUCAGUGGUAGAAUUCUCGCCUGACACGCGGGAAGCCCGGGUUCGAUUCCCGGCCAGUGCA